CUCACUGAGAAGAGCUACUUGGCUGGUGUUCUUUUUUUUGGUGUUGAACGGAUCUCAAUCCUUUUGGUAUUUUCUCAAGAAAAAAUGACUAUCAAGAGCUUCUCCAUUGAUUAUAAUGCGGUCAAUGCAAAAAACACCUUCACGAAUGGGGAUCAUCUGACAGGCCAAAUCACUGUGGAUGUCUCAAAAAAAACCAAAAUCAGGUCUAUUACUCUUUUGGCCAAAGGAAAAACUACUGUGCGUUGGACUGAAAAUUAUGGAAAGUACACAGUGGUUUAUUAUGCCAGUGAGAAAUACUUCAAAAUAGAACAUAAUAUCUUAACAGGCAAUGAUUGUGAUAUCUGUCCAGGUAGACACGUGUUUCCUUUCACAUUCCAAAUUCCUGACAGAAAUAUGCCGAGCACAUUCAAAGCCCAGCGAGGCAGUAUUGUCUACUCAUUACAGGCAAAGUUAAGUAGAUCAAUAAAGAUUCCCAAGAAAGCCAAUAAAAUGUUCACCUUCAUCUCCAAAGCAGACAUGUCUCUUCCUGGACUAAUGGAACCUCAGUAUGCAACCAAGAAUAAAAAAGUUGUGUUCUUUGCAUCUGGAAACAUCACUAUGAACAUUCACACUGAGAGGAUGGGAUACCAGCAAGGCGACGCCUUGAAAGUCACAGCAGAUGUCACAAACAGUUCAACACGCACAGUUAAGCCUAUUUUUUACCUGUAUGAAAAGAAGAGUUUCUUUGCCCAAGGUAAGAGAAGAGUCGACACCCAAAACCUUUUCAAAGAAAAAGGUGAGUCUGUUGCUUCUUCCACCAGACAAACUGUGACCAGAUUCAUCCCCAUCCCUGAAGAACUCCCUCCAACCAUCCUCAACUGCCAAAUACUUAAACUGGAGUACAGACUGAAGGUUGUCCUUGAUAUUGCCCUGACCAGAAACCCUCAGAUAAAACUUCCUAUUGUUGUUCUCCCUGCAACUCCAGCUCUUCUCCAACAACCCCCACUUUACACCCUAAACCAUCAAAUGGAUGGGCCAGCCGCGAAGCUGCUGGAGGCAAACCUCUUAAACAGCACACACUUAUGAUGUAGAUGUGUGUGGUUGACCAUGGGCCAAUAGCAAUGAUGGGUCACUUGCAAAUGUAGUUUUGAACUGCGCAGCUAUCUGCACAUGAGUUCUAAAAAUAAUUUACUAAAUAUUACUGUAGCCUAUCCAUAAUGAAGACAUGACUGCAUUGCCCUACUGAUUGGCACCCAUUUUCCUCAAGAUCACUCUUGACAAUGCUCACAGUCAGUGGAGAUGAUAGUGGACUUCAGGAGAAGCCCAGCUGCCCUUCCCACCAUCGCCCAGGACUUCAAGAGGAAGCUGAACAUCACUUCUCUUACAAAGAAAAGCUCAGCAGGGGAUGUACUUCCUGCUUCCUCCCUUCCUGAAAAAGUUCAACCUGCCAAAGACUAUGAUGGUGCAAUUCUACACUGCCGUCGUGGAGUCCAUCCUGACCUCCUCCCUCACCGUCUGGUACGCUGCAGCCACUGCCAAGGACAAGGGCAGGCUGCAUCAUACGCUCUGCAGAGAGGUUGAUUGGCUGCAAUCUGCCGUCUCUGCAGGACCUACACACCUCCAGGACGCUGUUAGAUUCUGUCAAUUUUUGAACCUUCAUGCCCAAUAUCUGUCAACGCGGAGGCAUGCGGCAAAGAUUGGGGCUGAUCCCUCUCACCCUGUAAAUGGACUGUUCAGAGCUCUCCGGUUGAGGUCUAUCAGGUCCAAAACCCCUCACCACAACAACAGCUUCUUUCCUACAGAAGUAGGCAUCAUGAACAUGCCCCUGUAACCCAAUUGACUAUGGCCCGCUUCCAACACACACAACCCUCAACUGGACACAAUAUUGCACUUGACACAUACCUUUGUUUUUAUUUUUUUAUUAAUGCACACUACAAUUUUAUGCUCAGUCCACUGUUCUUAUUUGUUUUUCUUUUCGUUUAUUCCUUUUGUAUUAAUUGCUGCACCAACAGCCAGAACAAAUUCCUUGUUUGUUGUCAAACAUAGUCCUAUCUCCUAUUACGCUCAGUGGGUAACACACACCAUUGUACAGCGCCAUGAAUCUUACAUUAGAGUUGAAGCUGCUACGUUUAUCCGCUCAUGCACAUCAUCAUCAUCAUCUUCCGCUUAUCCGGGGGCCGCUACGUUCAUCCGCUCAUGCACAAUGACAAUUAAAAGCUUCUCAGUGGACUACCUCAGGAAUAAUGAACAAGGCAUUUUUUCAUCUGGAGAUACCAUCACCGGGAGGAUUUCAUUGGUGGCACUCAAGGAGACCACACUCCAGUCUCUUUGUGUGAAGGUGAAAGGAAAGGCUGAAGUGAAGUGGAUGGAACUUGAUGGGCAAAAUACUGUGGUCUGCAGUGACAAGAAAAAAUACUUUGGUCUACGAAAGGUGCUGCGGGAAGGGAAAGGCGAUGGCUCUGAAAUCAUUACUCCUGGGAGACAUGUUUAUCCAUUCACCUUCCAGAUCCCAGCUAAAGAAAUGCCAUCAUCUUAUGUGGGGAAAUGUGGCAAAAUCACUUAUAGUUUGAAGGCCAAGUUGAUCAGGACCCUUUGGCUGAUAGACAAAGCCAAGACAGAAUUCCCCUUUCUGUCAAAGGCUGAUAUCAUAAUUCCUGGAUUGAGGGAGCCCCAGUAUGGUUCCAAAGUUGUAUUCCUUGCCACUGGAAAUGUCUCAAUAGGCAUUCAUAUUGAGACAAUGGUGUAUCUUCCAGGUGAAGCAAUAGAAGUCCUGAUUGAGAUACACAACAACUCUACACGCACUGUAACACCCAACUUCUCUCUAUAUGAAAAGCAGAGCUUCUUUGCCAAGCAUAAGAGGAAAGUCUACACCCAUGACAUCAUUACAGCAAUAGGAGACCCAGUUCCGGCUGCUACAAGACAGACUGCCACCAAAGUGUUGACUGUCCCUUCACAACUCUCUGUCUCUUUCCUUGACUGCUCCAUAUUAAACCUAGAGUACAUGCUGAAGGUACAUUGAGAUGAGAUUCAUCUCGGUUAUCCAGGAGUAAAAUCAUUUAAACACCCUGCGUUUCCAUGCAGAAUCAAGUGUACAAGAAAUUGGGAUGAUAUACUGAGAAUGAAAGCACAGCACCAGCUAAAUAUGAACACAGGAUUCAGGGUAGUGGGGGGGAGAGAAUUA